rnacentral:rRNA from 1 species
CAAACGCAAUAAGGCACACGGUGGAUGCCUUGGCAUCGAGAGGCGAUGAAGGUCGUGAUAAGCUGCGAUAAGCCUGGGGGAGCUGCACGUAAGCCGUGAUCCCAGGAUGACCGAAUGGGGAAACCCGGCGAGCCGCGAGGUUCGUCAUCCCGCAAGGGAAGCCAACCCGGGGAACUGAAACAUCUCAGUACCUGGAGGAAGAGAAAUCAACCGAGAUUCUCCUAGUAGCGGUGAGCGAACGGGGAACAGGCCAAACCGUGGGAGCUUGCUCCCGCGGGGUUGUGGGACCACAACGUGGGAUGCACGACGCUAAAGUGAAGCGGCCCGGAAUGGCCCGCCAGAGACGGUGAAAGCCCGGUAACCAUACGCGUACGGCCCCUAGUGGUAUCCCGAGUAGCGCGGAGCACGUGGAAUUCUGCGCGAAUCUGGGGGGACCACCCUCCAAGCCUAAAUACUCCUCGAUGACCGAUAGUGCACUAGUACCGUGAGGGAAAGGUGAAAAGCACGCCAGGUGGCGAGUGAAAGAGAUCCUGAAACCGUGUGCUGACAAGCGGUCGGAGGACACGUAAGUGUCUGACGGCGUGCCUUUUGCAUUAUGAUCCGGCGAGUUACUGAUCACGUGCAGGUUAAGGCCUUCAGGGCCGGAGCCAAAGCGAAAGCGAGUCUGAUAAGGGCGAUUUCGUACGUGGUCGUAGACCCGAAGCCGUGGCGAUCUACCCUUGAGCAGGUUGAAGCCGCCGUAACAGGCGGUGGAGGACCGAACCCAUGUGGGUUGAAAACCGCUGGGAUGACUUGAGGGUAGGGGUGAAAGGCCAAUCAAGCUCGGAGAUAGCUGGUUCUCCCCGAAAUAUAUUUUGGUAUAGCCUCGGGAAAUGAGUUCACAGGAGGUAGAGCACUGGAUGGGUCCGGGUCGUGAAUAACGAUACCUCCCCCAACCAAACUCCGAAUGCCUGUUGAAUGCUGCCCGGGAGGCAGUCGCGGUGCGCUAAUGUACCGUGGCGAGAGGGAAAGAACCCAGAACCUCAGCUAAGGCCCCGGAGUGGCGGCUCAGUGUAGCAAAGGAUGUGGGUAUGCUGUGACAACUGGGAGGUUGGCUUAGAAGCAGCCAUUCCUUUAAAGAGUGCGUAAUAGCUCACCAGUCCAGCGUAGCCGCGCCGAUAAUGGUCGGGACUUCAAGCCGCCCGCCGAAGCUAGGUCUUCUACCCGCAAGGGUAGAGGGGUAGGGGAGCGUUCCCAUAGCGUUGAAGCCGGGGCGGAAGCCUUCCGGUGGAGCGGUGGGAAGUGAGGAUGCCGGAUUAAGUACGCGAGAAACAGGGUGAAAACCCCUGUCACCGUAAGCCUAAGGGUUCCUGAGCCAUGUCGAUCAGCUCAGGGUCAGUCGGUCCCUAAGUCGAGGCCGAGAGGCGUAGACGAUGGGAAACGGGUCAACAUUCCCGUACCAACUGUAGGCCGUUAUGAGUCCGAGGAGGGACGCAGGAGCAAGGUUACCGGCGGGUGGUGGAUUUUCCGCUGCAAGGUGGUAGACGUUUCCCGGUAGGCAAAUCCGCUGGGAUAGUCGAGAACCGAUGCCGAAGGGGCCGUAUGGCCCCGCCAAGGGUGGCUGCCGCACACUGUCGAGAAAAGCUUCGCAGACCAGGACUGCAGUUGACCGUACCGUAAUCCGACACAGGUGGGCGAGGCGAGAAGCCUAAGGUGCUCGAGUGAUUUACGGAAAAGGAACUCGGCAAAAUGACCCCGUAACUUCGGGAUAAGGGGUGCCGGUUGUAUGUGACCCGCCAAGGGGAGCAGAAGCCGGCCGCAGAGAAUCGUCCCAAGCGACUGUUUAGCAAAAACACAGGAGCGUGCCAAGGCAUUGUCCAAGCCGACGUAUACGCUCUGACUCCUGCCCGGUGCCGGAAGGUUAAGGCAAGCGGUUAGCCGCAAGGCGAAGCUGCGAACCGAAGCCCCGGUAAACGGCGGCCGUAACUAUAACGGUCCUAAGGUAGCGAAAUUCCUUGUCGGGUAAGUUCCGACCUGCACGAAUGGAGUAACGACUUGGGAGCUGUCUCUUCCGUAAGCUCGGCGAAAUAGCAGUAUCGGUGAGGAUUCCGAUUACCCGCGACAGGACAAAAAGACCCCGUGCACCUUUACUACAACCUGUCAUUGAACGUCGGUAUGACCUGCGUAGCAUAGGUGGGAGCCGUUGAUCUGGUCCUUUCGGGGAUCAGGGAGGCAACAGUGAAAUACCACCCUUGUUUUACUAACGUUCUCACUCGGACGGCAACACCGUCGAGGACCGUGGCAGGUGGGUAGUUUGACUGGGGCGGUCGCCUCCUAAAGAGUACCGGAGGCGCGCUAUGGUGGGCUCAGUGCGGUCGGUAAUCGCACGAUGAGUGUAUAAGCAGAAGCCCGCCUGACUGCGAGCGCGACGGCGCGAGCAGGGACGAAAGUCGGCUUAAGUGAUCCGGUGAUCCCGUGUGGAUGGGUCAUCGCUCAUCGGAUAAAAGGUACGCUGGGGAUAACAGGCUUAUCGCGCCCGAGAGUUCACAUCGACGGCGCGGUUUGGCACCUCGAUGUCGGCUUAUCACAUCCUGGGGCUGGAGAAGGUCCCAAGGGUCCGGCUGUUCGCCGGUUAAAGUGGUACAUGAGCUGGGUUCAGAACGUCGUGAGACAGUUCGGUCUGUAUCCGUCGUGGGCGUGGGAGUGUUGAGGGACGUCGUCUCUAGUACGAGAGGACCGAGACGAAGCGACCGCUCGUGUACGGGCUAUCCUGCCUAAGGGUAUCGCCCGGUAGCGAUGUCGCGCGGAGAUAACCGCUGAAAGCAUCUAAGUGGGAAACUCUUCCCAAGAUGAACACUCCUGGACCUUAAGGUCCCUGAAGGGCCCUGGGAGACUACCAGGUUGAUAGGCCGCAGAUGUACGGCGCGCAAGCGCUUUAGUCGAGCGGUACUAAUCGCCCGUGAAGUUUGAUCUC